rnacentral:rRNA from 2 species
AUGCAAGUCGAACGGAGCGCACAAGAAGAAUUUCUUCGGAGAUGAUUUUUGUGCUGCUUAGUGGCGAACGGGUGAGUAACACGUGAAUAACCUACCCUGAAGUGGGGGACAACACUUUGGAAACAGAUGCUAAUACCGCAUAAGACCCCGGAACCACAUGGUUCUGAGGCCAAAGGAGCAAUUCGCUUUGGGAUGGAUUCGCGCCUGAUUAGCUAGAUGGUGAGGUAACGGCCCACCAUGGCAACGAUCAGUAGCCGGACUGAGAGGUUGAACGGCCACAUUGGGACUGAGACACGGCCCAGACUCCUACGGGAGGCAGCAGUGGGGAAUAUUGCACAAUGGGCGAAAGCCUGAUGCAGCGACGCCGCGUGAGGGAAGAAGGUUUUCGGAUUGUAAACCUCUGUCUUCGGGGACGAAAAAAAUGACGGUACCCGAGGAGGAAGCCACGGCCUAACUACGUGCCAGCAGCCGCGGUAAAACGUAGGUGGCAAGCGUUGUCCGGAAUUACUGGGUGUAAAGGGAGCGCAGGCGGGCUGGUAAGUUGAAUGUGAAAACUGGGGGUUCAACCCCCAGACUGCGUUCAAAACUACUGGUCUUGAGUGAUGGAGA